rnacentral:rRNA from 1 species
AUUGAACGCUGGCGGCAGGCCUAACACAUGCAAGUCGAGCGGAUGAAGGGAGCUUGCUCCUGGAUUCAGCGGCGGACGGGUGAGUAAUGCCUAGGAAUCUGCCUGGUAGUGGGGGAUAACGUCCGGAAACGGGCGCUAAUACCGCAUACGUCCUGAGGGAGAAAGUGGGGGAUCUUCGGACCUCACGCUAUCAGAUGAGCCUAGGUCGGAUUAGCUAGUUGGUGGGGUAAAGGCCUACCAAGGCGACGAUCCGUAACUGGUCUGAGAGGAUGAUCAGUCACACGGGAGAUAAGACGCGGUGCAGACUCCGACGGGAGGCAGCAGUGGGGAAUAUUGGACAGGGGGCGAAAGCCUGUACCAGCCAGGCCGCGUGUGUGAAGAAGGGCUGCGGAGUGUAAAGCACUUUAGGUUGGGAGGAAGGGAAGUAAGUUAACACCGUGCUGUUUUGACGUUACCAACAAAAUAGGCACGGGCAAACUCCGG